rnacentral:rRNA from 1 species
UGGGGAAUAUUGCACAAUGGGCGCAAGCCUGAUGCAGCCAUGCCACGUGUAUGAAGAAGGCCUUCGGGUUGUAAAGUACUUUCAGCGGGGAGGAAGGCGAUAAGGUUAAUAACCUUGUCGAUUGACGUUACCCGCAGAAGAAGCACCGGCUAACUCCGUGCCAGCAGCCGCGGUAAUACGGAGGGUGCAAGCGUUAAUCGGAAUUACUGGGCGUAAAGCGCACGCAGGCGGUUUGUCAAGUCGGAUGUGAAAUCCCCGGGCUCAACCUGGGAACUGCAUUCGAAACUGGCAGGCUAGAGUCUUGUAGAGGGGGGUAGAAUUCCAGGUGUAGCGGUGAAAUGCGUAGAGAUCUGGAGGAAUACCGGUGGCGAAGGCGGCCCCCUGGACAAAGACUGACGCUCAGGUGCGAAAGCGUGGGGAGCAAACA